rnacentral:ncRNA from 1 species
UAAACGGCAAUGAAGGGAAGAGUAAGCAGUCUGACCGUGUUUAGCGAGCGUCCAGUGAUGGGAGGACGUCACGGGAAAACUGCCGAAAAUGAGCCCAGAGCCUGCGUUUGGUGGGAGCUGAACGGACGUUGGACCACGUUACCGGUCGCAACUUUACAUGAAGUUGAUGAGGCAGUCGGUAGGAAUUGGCUGCAAACUCGGGUGGUAUCGCGAAAGGCUUUCGUCCCGUUA